UACAGAGGUCUCAAGCGUUGUUCGGAUUUACUGGGCGUAAAGGGUGCGUAGGCGGUGGCGAAAGUCUGAUGUGAAAGCUCGGAGCCUAACUCCGAAAUGGCAUUGGAAACUGCGUCGCUGGAGGCUUGGAGGGGGGACUGGAAUACUUGGUGUAGCAGUGAAAUGCGUAGAGAUCAUGAGGAAGACCAGUGGCGAAGGCGGGUCUCUGGACAGUUCCUGACACUGAGACACGAAGGCCAGGGGAGCAAACGGG
rnacentral:rRNA from 1 species